GCUGAACUUGUAGUGGAUAAAGCCAUGGAGUUAAGGUUUGUGGGUGGCGUCUAUGGUGGCCACAUAAAACCAACUCCUUUUCUGUGUUUAACCUUGAAGAUGCUUCAAAUUCAGCCCGAGAAGGAUAUCAUUGUAGAGUUUAUAAAAAAUGAAGAUUUCAAGUAUGUCCACAUGUUGGGGGCACUUUACAUGAGGUUGACAGGCACUGCAAUUGACUGCUACAAAUACUUGGAGCCUUUGUACAACGACUAUCGAAAAAUCAAGAGCCAGAACCGAAAUGGGGAAUUUGAAUUGAUGCAUGUAGAUGAGUUUAUUGAUGAACUACUGCACAGUGAGAGAGUCUGUGAUAUCAUUCUGCCCCGGCUACAGAAACGUUAUGUGCUAGAGGAAGCUGAGCAGCUGGAGCCUCGAGUUAGUGCUCUAGAAGAAGACAUGGAUGACGUGGAAUCCAGUGAAGAGGAAGAAGAGGAGGAUGAAAAGUUGGAAAGAGUGCCAUCACCUGAUCACCGCAGAAGAAGUUACCGAGAUUUGGACAAGCCCCGCCGUUCUCCCACUCUGCGCUACAGGAGGAGUAGGAGCCGGUCGCCCAGAAGGCGGAGUCGAUCUCCCAAAAGGAGAAGCCCCUCCCCCCGCCGAGAAAGGCAUCGGAGCAAGAGUCCAAGGCGUCACCGCAGCAGAUCCCGAGAUCGACGGCACAGAUCUCGCUCCAAGUCACCAGGUCACCACCGUAGUCAUAAACACAGGAGCCACUCAAAAUCUCCUGAAAGGUCUAAGAAAAGCCACAAGAAGAGCCGGAGAGGGAAUGAGUAAUGGACUCAGUUUUGUUUUAAUCCAAAAUGGCCUCCUCUGUAUAUGGGGUAUCUGUCUAUGUGGAAGAAUUAAGAUUCCAUGGGCAGCUGUAAGAUUAUUUUAGGUUUUUUAUCAAGUUUCUCCACUUUUUUUUUUAAUGAAAGUGGUGCUGAGUUUUGUAUCUCUUUUUGAAAUGUAACCAACAUCUUUGAGGGAUAAAGAUGUUUCCCAAGGUCAGUUUUUGACCCAGC